rnacentral:sRNA from 12 species
AUAGGUCGGUCGUAGUAACCCCAUUGGGUGAAAUCAGUACCUUUUGCAGAGGGAGGACUUGUACCCUGCCUAUGGGCUAAAACUUCCGGGCACAUCGUUUGAAAUGCGCCCUCCCCGAAAGGGGGCACUCCGAUGUAAUCAGCCGGACGCUUCUUGCAUGGUGAGUGAUGUAUGGUAACUCAUUUCAUGGCUGGUAUUACUACGCAGUUAGAACCCAUACCCAACAAUCAUACUGUACGGAGGGAAAUCUUUUUCAUGACCAG